GCAUAUAGACAGUACAUUUUAUACAGACCAAUACAAGGAGUCCCUGUCCGUAAGCUGAAUUUUAGACAUUCAAGUUCUUUGAUACAAAUUAGUUAGCUUGAUAGCCCGUAAGCUUACAAUCUACAGGGAGUGCAGAAUUAUUAGGCAAGUUGUAUUUUUGAGGAUUAAUUUUAUUAUUGAACAACAACCAUGUUCUCAAUGAACCCAAAAA